UACGUAGGUGGCAAGCGUUAUCCGGAAUUACUGGGCGUAAAGCGCACGCAGGCGGUCUGUUAAGUUUGACGUGGAAGCUCCCGGCUUAACUGGGAGAGGUCGUUGAAGACUGGCAGACUUGAGGCGAUGAGAGGGGUGUAGAAUUCCCGGUGUAGUGGUGGAAUGCGUAGAUAUCGGGGGGAAUACCAGUGGCGAAAGCGGCACCCUAGCGUUAGCCUGACGCUCAUGUGCGAAAGCGUGGGGAGCGAACGGG
rnacentral:rRNA from 1 species